AAGGGCACCACAAGAACGCGUGGAGCAUGUGGCUUAAUUUGACUCAACGCGGGAAAUCUUACCGGGUCCGGACACACUGAGGAUUGACAGGCAAUAUUGGAAUGUGCUUUGCGCAUUCCAUGUUAAAUAUGCUAGUCCUUUCAUGAUUAUGUGAUAGGUGGUGCAUGGCCGUUCUUAGUUCGUGGAGUGAUCUGUCUGCUUAAUUGCGUUUCACUAAGGGCUUAUUAAUUACGUGCGCUGCGCUCUCUUUGACCCCUCAUUUGUUUGAGCGCGUGUCUCAGAUGAUUAUGCUCGCACAAUUAAGUCCUGAAAGCAACGAACGUGACCGCAACCUCUUGUUGCCUUUUGCACAAACCUGUGCUUGAAUUUUUUUUCAUGCGCGGAAAAAGAGGCUAUUAAACUAGAGGGACCGCUGUAAUCUUUUUAAACCAGAGGAAGGUUGCGGCAAUAACAGGUCUGUGAUGCCCUUAGAUGUUCCGGGCUGCACACGUGCUACAAUGAUUAUUGCAGUGAGCAUCUCAUACUAUACACCGCUUGCGCGAAGGCUUCUUGUGUCGCUUUUGCGUGCAAGUUGCUCUUUUUGCGCGCGGUAAAGCCUGCUUCGAAAGUAAGUGGGUAAUCAAUUAGAAGUAAUGAUUUCCUUUUUUCAGCACACAUAUAUACGGCGUUGUUACCCGGAUUAGGCUUGUCCUAUUCUUUGUGUGUAUCAAUGUUUUUCCAUAUGUGCAAUUGUCAAUUCAUGGUGGGGACAGACCAUUGUUAAUUGUUGGUCUCGGUCUUAACUAGGAAUGCCUUGUACGGGUCUUUGGUUCAACAGACCACCCGGAAUACGUCCCUGCCCUUUGUACACACCGCCCGUCGCUCUUACCGAUGGACUUCUCUGUGAGUUUGAGGGACUGGAAUUUUUGCGCGUCUUUUUCGCUGCAAUACCUCUAUGGAAACUUAAACGAACAGUGUGGUCUAAAGGAAAGAGAAGUCGUAACAAGGCAUCGGUAGGUGAACCUGCAGAAGGAUCA
rnacentral:rRNA from 1 species